CUCGUGGAGGCCUCGCGUCAUAAUCGGGGAGGGGGGGGGGUUUCUGCAUCUACUGCACCCUGAACGGGGAGCGGAGUCCCAGGUGGAGGGCGCCCCGGUGUUGGUCGUGGACGCCCAUCGAGCCCGCUGGCUUCACCGCUGACCUGAGGUCCCACGCGGCGGCCAGGCCUUCCCCUGCUGAUUGCAAGGGCAAGACGAACGCCCUCAGCAGUGCGGGGAAGGAAGGGAUGCGACGCCCAACACUUUAUAAACUUCAAGGCAGGAAAUCUUGUGCCGUGUCACGUUGAGCACCUCCAGCUGUGAUGGUGCCAGUGGAGUCAUAAAUUCGAGAUGGCGGUAAAAGAAAAAAGACAAUCUGUCCGGGGCGGAGAGACAGGUGCUGCAAUGGACAAAAACCCGGACAAAUACAUUUUCCAGCAGAGAGGAAAAGAGACAGUUCAAGCAGAGGAGGCCACAUACGUGCGUAGAUGUCUGAAAGAUUAUGGUGUGCGUGAAGAACUGUAAGACACUCCAAAUGGAGAAUAAAAAGUGGAGAAAAGCA